rnacentral:rRNA from 1 species
CAAGUCGAACGAACCUUCGGGUUAGUGGCGGACGGGUGAGUAACGCGUGGGAAUCUGCCCUCAGGAGGGGGAUAAAGGUUGGAAACGACCGCUAAUACCCCAUAUGCCGAGAGGUGAAAUGAAUUUCGCCUGAGGAUGAGCCCGCGUCUGAUUAGCCUGUUGGUGAGGUAAUGGCUCACCAAGGCUUCGAUCAGUAGCUGGUCUGAGAGGAUGAUCAGCCACACUGGGACUGAGACACGGCCCAGACUCCUACGGGAGGCAGCAGUGGGGAAUUUUCCGCAAUGGGCGAAAGCCUGACGGAGCAACGCCGCGUGAGGGACGAAGGCCUCUGGGCUGUAAACCUCUUUUCUCAAGGAAGAAGAUAAGACGGUACUUGAGGAAUAAGCCACGGCUAAUUCCGUGCCAGCAGCCGCGGUAAUACGGGAGUGGCAAGCGUUAUCCGGAAUUAUUGGGCGUAAAGCGUCCGCAGGCGGCCCUUCAAGUCUGCUGUUAAAGCGUGGAGCUUAACUCCAUCAUGGCAGUGGAAACUGAUUGGCUUGAGUAUGGUAGGGGCAGAGGGAAUUCCCGGUGUAGCGGUGAAAUGCGUAGAUAUCGGGAAGAACACCAGUGGCGAAGGCGCUCUGCUGGGCCAUUACUGACGCUCAUGGACGAAAGCCAGGGGAGCGAAAGGGAUUAGAUACCCCUGUAGUCCUGGCCGUAAACGAUGAACACUAGGUGUCGGGGGAAUCGACCCCUUCGGUGUCGUAGCUAACGCGUUAAGUGUUCC